rnacentral:rRNA from 1 species
AUACGUAGGGGGCGAGCGUUGUCCGGAAUGAUUGGGCGUAAAGGGCGCGUAGGCGGCGCGGUAAGUCUGGAGUGAAAGUCCUGCUUUCAAGGUGGGAAUUGCUUUGGAUACUGCCGCGCUUGAGUGCAGGAGAGGUUAUCGGAAUUCCCGGUGUAGCGGUGAAAUGCGUAGAGAUCGGGAGGAACACCAGUGGCGAAGGCGGGUAACUGGACUGCAACUGACGCUGAGGUACGAAAGUGUGGGGAGCAAACAGGAUUAGAUACCCUGGUAGUCCACACCGUAAACGAUGAGCACUAGGUGUCGGGCUCGCAAGAGUUCGGUGCCGCAGUUAACGCAUUAAGUGCUCCGCCUGGGGAGUACGUACGCAAGUAUGAAACUCAAAGGAAUUGGCGGGG